UACGUAGGGUGCGAGCGUUUGUCCGGAAUUAUUGGGCGUAAAGAGCUCGUAGGCGGUCUGUCGCGUCGGAUGUGAAAACUCGGGGCUCAACCCCGAGCCUGCAUUCGAUACGGGCAGACUAGAGUUCGGUAGGGGAGACUGGAAUUCCGCGUGUAGCAGUGAAAUGCGUAGAGAUGACGGAGGAACACCGAUGGCGAAGGCAGCCCCUGGGUCGACACUGACGCUCGAGGCACGAAAGCGUGGGGAGCAAACAGG
rnacentral:rRNA from 1 species